CUCAUUGUUAUUGCGUUUCUCAAGUGUCAUUUUCGUUGUAAAACGAAAACAACGUAUUUGCAUAAAAAAAAGUCGUUUCAAAAAAAUUAUUGCUUUCUAGUGCCAAAAUUUUUUUUUAUAUUAAACCAAAAACUGUUAAUAACAAAGCAUUGGGUAAUUUUGUGUAAGCAAAAUUAAAUAAAGUUAAUUAAAAGGAAAAAAAAAAAAGUUAUCUCAACGCACAUAUUUGUAUAACUAAGCGCCCGUGUGUCAGUUUUGUGCAUUUAUAAAACAAUAUAAAAAAAAAAAAUUCAUAUUAAGUAUUACUUAUACGUAAAUCUAUUUCUGGAAUAGUGUGCGGGUUCAGAGACAGUGAAUUACAAAAAAAGAAAAAAAAAAGAGAAAUACCUGAACAAUUAGCAGAAAAAGCGCAAAAUAAUUUAUUAAACGAUUUAAUUAAUAAAUGGCCGAAAAUAAAGGAAUCAUGUUGGCAAAAUCUGUACAAAAACACGCUGGACGUGCCAAAGAAAAGGUAAAGCUAAGAUUUGUUUAUCUAUUAGAGGUGUAAGUAUUUGAUUUGAAAAUUAAAGCAAAAAAAAAAAA